ACUCAAGGAGUCCAAGAAAAGAAAAUAGUGCCUGAGCCGACACUCCCUACAAAGCUGGAAAACAGACUGGGGAUGUUUUGAGAGCUUGGCUGUAGCAGUUUUGGUACCUGUGGCAUGUUCCAUUGACAUUCAUCACCAGCAAAUCAGACAUGGUCCAUCGAUUUUUGCUAAAAACAAAAACAGAUGUGCUCAUCCUCCCAGAAGAGGUGGAAUGGAUCAAAUUUAAUGUGGACAUGAAUGGCUAUUACAUUGUGCAUUACGAGGAUGAUGGAUGGGACUCUUUGACCGGCCUUUUAAAAGGAACACACACAGCAGUCAGCAGUAAUGAUCGGGCGAGUCUCAUUAACAAUGCAUUUCAGCUCGUCAGCAUUGGGAAGCUGUCCAUUGAAAAGGCCUUGGAUUUAUCCCUGUACUUGAAACAUGAAACUGAAAUUAUGCCCGUGUUUCAAGGUUUGAAUGAGCUGAUUCCUAUGUAUAAGUUAAUGGAAAAAAGAGAUAUGAAUGAAGUGGAAACUCAAUUCAAGGCCUUCCUCAUCAGGCUGCUAAGGGACCUCAUUGAUAAGCAGACGUGGACAGACGAGGGCUCAGUCUCAGAGCGAAUGCUGCGGAGUCAACUACUCCUCCUCGCCUGUGUGCGCAAGUAUCAGCCGUGCGUACAGAGGGCAGAAGGCUAUUUCAGAAAGUGGAAGGAAUCCAAUGGAAACUUGAGCCUGCCUGUUGACGUGACCUUGGCAGUGUUUGCUGUGGGGGCCCAGAGCACAGAAGGCUGGGAUUUUCUUUAUAGUAAAUAUCAGUUUUCUUUGUCCAGUACUGAGAAAAACCAAAUUGAAUUUGCCCUCUGCACAACCCAAAAUAAGGAAAAGCUUCAAU
rnacentral:sRNA from 1 species